rnacentral:rRNA from 1 species
GACGAACGCUGGCGGCGUGCUUAACACAUGCAAGUCGAACGGUAAGGCCCUUCGGGGUACACGAGUGGCGAACGGGUGAGUAACACGUGGGUGAUCUGCCCUGCACUUCGGGAUAAGCCUGGGAAACUGGGUCUAAUACCGGAUAGGACCACUGCCUGCAUGGGUGGUGGUGGAAAGCUUUUGCGGUGUGGGAUGGGCCCGCGGCCUAUCAGCUUGUUGGUGGGGUGAUGGCCUACCAGGGCGACGACGGGUAGCCGGGCUGAGAGGGUGACCGGCAACACUGGGACUGAGAUACGGCCCAGACUCCUACGGGAGGCAGCAGUGGGGAAUAUUGCACAAUGGGCGCAAGCCUGAUGCAGCGACGCCGCGUGAGGGAUGACGGCCUUCGGGUUGUAAACCUCUUUCAGCACCGACGAAGCGCAAGUGACGGUAGGUGCAGAAGAAGGACCGGCCAACUACGUGCCAGCCGCCGCCGUAA